rnacentral:rRNA from 1 species
UACAGAGGUCUCAAGCGUUGUUCGGAUUCAUUGGGCGUAAAGGGUGCGUAGGCGGCGCGGUAAGUCGGGUGUGAAAUCUUGGAGCUUAACUCCGAAACUGCAUUCGAUACUGCCGUGCUUGAGGACUGGAGAGGAGACUGGAAUUUACGGUGUAGCGGUGAAAUGCGUAGAUAUCUGGAGGAACACCGGUGGCGAAGGCGGCAUCCUGGACCGGUAUUGACGCUGAGGAGCGAAAGCCAGGGGAGCAAACGGG